rnacentral:rRNA from 1 species
GGUUUGCUUGCAAACCGAAGCUGGCGACCGGCGCACGGGUGAGUAACACGUAUCCAACCUGCCUCAUACUCGGGGAUAGCCUUUCGAAAGAAAGAUUAAUAUCCGAUAGCAUAUAUUUCCCGCAUGGGUUUUAUAUUAAAGAAAUUCGGUAUGAGAUGGGGAUGCGUUCCAUUAGUUUGUUGGCGGGGUAACGGCCCACCAAGACUACGAUGGAUAGGGGUUCUGAGAGGAAGGUCCCCCACAUUGGAACUGAGACACGGUCCAAACUCCUACGGGAGGCAGCAGUGAGGAAUAUUGGUCAAUGGACGCGAGUCUGAACCAGCCAAGUAGCGUGAAGGAUGACUGCCCUAUGGGUUGUAAACUUCUUUUAUAUGGGAAUAAAGUGGUCCACGUGUGGAUUUUUGUAUGUACCAUAUGAAUAAGGAUCGGCUAACUCCGUGCCAGCAGCCGCGGUAAUACGGAGGAUCCGAGCGUUAUCCGGAUUUAUUGGGUUUAAAGGGAGCGCAGACGGGUCGUUAAGUCAGCUGUGAAAGUUUGGGGCUCAACCUUAAAAUUGCAGUUGAUACUGGCGUCCUUGAGUGCGGUUGAGGUGUGCGGAAUUCGUGGUGUAGCGGUGAAAUGCUUAGAUAUCACGAAGAACCCCGAUUGCGAAGGCAGCACACUAAUCCGUAACUGACGUUCAUGCUCGAAAGUGUGGGUAUCAAACAGGAUUAGAUACCCUGGUAGUCCACACGGUAAACGAUGGAUACUCGCUGUUGGCGAUAUACUGUCAGCGGCUUAGCGAAAGCGUUAAGUAUCCCACCUCGGGAAAUACGCCGGCAC